rnacentral:rRNA from 1 species
UACGUAGGGGGCAAGCGUUGUCCGGAAUUAUUGGGCGUAAAGCGCGCGCAGGCGGCAUCGUAAGCCCAGUGUUUAAGCUCGGAGCUCAACUCCGAUACGCACUGGGAACUGCGAGGCUUGAGUGCAGAAGAGGAAAGUGGAAUUCCACGUGUAGCGGUGAAAUGCGUAGAGAUGUGGAGGAACACCAGUGGCGAAGGCGGCUCACUGGCCCGGUACUGACGCUGAGGUGCGAAAGCGUGGGGAGCAAACAGG